rnacentral:rRNA from 1 species
GCUGGCGGCAUGCCUAACACAUGCAAGUCGAACGAGACCUUCGGGUCUAGUGGCGCACGGGUGCGUAACGCGUGGGAAUCUGCCCUUCGGUUCGGAAUAACAGUUAGAAAUGACUGCUAAUACCGGAUGAUGACUUCGGUCCAAAGAUUUAUCGCCGAGGGAUGAGCCCGCGUAGGAUUAGCUAGUUGGUGAGGUAAAGGCUCACCAAGGCGACGAUCCUUAGCUGGUCUGAGAGGAUGAUCAGCCACACUGGGACUGAGACACGGCCCAGACUCCUACGGGAGGCAGCAGUGGGGAAUAUUGGACAAUGGGCGAAAGCCUGAUCCAGCAAUGCCGCGUGAGUGAUGAAGGCCCUAGGGUUGUAAAGCUCUUUUACCCGGGAUGAUAAUGACAGUACCGGGAGAAUAAGCCCCGGCUAACUCCGUGCCAGCAGCCGCGGUAAUACGGAGGGGGCUAGCGUUGUUCGGAAUUACUGGGCGUAAAGCGCACGUAGGCGGCUUUGCAAGUCAGAGGUGAAAGCCCGGGGCUCAACCCCGGAAUUGCCUUUGAGACUGCAUCGCUAGAAUUGUGGAGAGGUAAGUGGAAUUCCGAGUGUAGAGGUGAAAUUCGUAGA